UAAAUAAAUUGUGUUGUUGCCCUGACAAAACAAGAAACUGGCUUCAGAAAUUCGGUUUUCUGGCAUUUUAAUGUCCAAAAGUGAAAUCGACCAAGAAAAUAAUCAAUUCUAUUCAGUAAUGAAAACACUUGUUACUUGCAGCCCAAUUCUCUUUGUUUCCAGCUGGAAAACUGACAUAAACAUGACAUUUGUAGUGUUUAUGUAAAAACACAGAGCACUAGCUAACAUCACAAACCAUCAAAUAAAACCCCAAGUCAGCUGUUUGGUUAUCUGAACGCAUUCAAAUGUUAGAAGGGAACUAAGCAACACUGGAUAGGGUCUCUAAAUUUAACCCGUCAGCUUUUUUAUGACCAGUCAUGUGGGUAUGAAACUGCUGAGGAUUCAGUUCCCUAAUGCAUACCAGGGUCUGCUUAUGUUAUGUGCAUAAGCAAAAACUGGCUCAUGUUUUUGAUACACACACAGCCUUAAACUGCUUGGCUGUGGGCUUUGCAACGUGCACAAAGUUCAUGGACACAACAAACUGAUAGGUUUGAACACCGUGUCAACAUCGUGGCAUUUAAACCAAGUCUAUGGUGCGUUCACUGCUCUGACCCCCAUGACUCUUAAAAAAAGAACAUCUGUAUGACGCGCAUAUAAUCACAUGGCUUUAAAUGUGACGAGGAGAAGAAAAGUUUAGAAAUAGUGUGGCUCGGUUUUUCCGGUGUCUUGACAAAGGUCUUUUGACAGCGAUAUUGCAAACACAGCAGCGACUUCCCGUUCACUAUCACUAGGAAGCAACUUGAAAACACAGGCUAGCCAAACCUGGAAACAGGCUAACAGGCUAGGGCUAGCUUUCCAACAGAGGAGCCUCGACCUGCUACAGUAAGACUCCACCUCCUCGCACCCAAGAGUACAGCAGGGUAACAUGUGGCAAGAAAACUAACAGGGGAAAAAAAAAAAAAGCAUCUUAUCUCACACGUUUACUGUGGGGAGGUGAGAUUUGUUUUUACUGUACGACAUUAAUUUUACAGUUUUAACAGUAACUUUAUAGGUUCUGAGUUUAAAAACACAACAAAAUAUUUUUCUGAAUUCAAAAAGUAGUUAAAAUAAGCUUACAUGCUGUGGAUUGCUUUUAAGUAAUUCUGUUGCUAUAAAACAAAAUAUUUAGCUUUUUCUUUGGUCGCCUAUUAAAGUUAUAAUAUAAAUGCUGAACCUGAGUAAAGCAUCUGGAUACUCCCCCCAAUUUAUACUCAAUUCCCAUUAUGAUGUGCAUGGAGCAGUAGAUAGAUAAUCUAAUGAUGAUGGCAAUUUUGUUACACUACAAAGCAGAGCAAGCAUUCCUUUUGUUUGUCCCAUUUUUUUUUUUUUUUUUUACUUUGGGCAGAUGAAGGAUAUAUCCACACAAGUCAAGUAUUAUUUAAAAAAAGAGACAAAAAUCAAUAAAAGAUAAAAACCCAAUUGAUAAAUAUAUUUUAAAUGGUCCUACUCGUGUUCCUCUUUAACAUGCAAGAAGCUUAAUGUUGUUAUAAGCACAUGUGAUAUAUGCCGCUAAAGCCCUAUUGUACUAGUGUUUGCAUUCAUUUAAAAACAAAUUACUUCUUUCUUUUUUUUUGUAACCGGACAAAAACAAAUCAUUUAUGACAUAAUGGCAGUGUUAGUGUUUAAAAAUAAGUUCUCUUUAUUCCCCCACAUAAAUCAGAAUUGUAAUGUACUGUUAUACAAAUCUUUCAAUAAAUUUCCUUCUGACACAAAAAUAACCAAUAUGUUCCACAGGCACGCACACGCACACACGCAGGCCCACAUAUACACAAAAGAAAAAAACAAAAUGCGCCAUUUAUGAUUUGGCACUUUGGACAUAUGGAGCAGUUUGCAUUGAUCUGCUGGUUUGGGUGGCCAUGCAGUGCAAUAAUCGCUAUGUUUUUGAACAAUGACAUCCCUUUCCCCUUGGGUGGGCCGCUCUCGCCUACACAGGGCCCAGGCUACAAAUAUAGUUAAGUCGAGUUCACAUCAACAUCAACGGGUCACAUGAAUACUGGUACACACACACAAAGUUAUGGCAGGAAAAUGCGAGUGUUAUUUUAGUCUUAAAAACAAAAAAAAGAAAGAAAACUCCCCAACUCAUCUCUGCUGCUUUGUUACUACUUUACAGGAAACAAAUGCAUCAGUUUAACUUAAAUUAUUGAGAAUGAUUUUUGGAAAAA